CGUGUAGGCGGUCUAUCGAGUCAGGCGUGAAAGCUCCGGGCUUAACCUGGGAACUGCGUUUGAUACUGAUAGACUAGAGGUUGGAAGAGGAGAGUGGAAUUCCCAGUGUAGAGGUGAAAUUCGUAGAUAUUGGGAAGAACACCAGUGGCGAAGGCGGCUCUCUGGUCCAUACCUGACGCUGAGGCGCGAAAGCGUGGGGAGCAAACAGGAUUAGAUACCCUGGUAGUCC
rnacentral:rRNA from 1 species